rnacentral:rRNA from 1 species
GCAUCUUUGGACAAGGUGAAGGAGAAAGAUGCCAACAUCCCGCCAUGUUGGUGUGGAGAUGUUUGCAAGGUGAAGGUAUCCACCGACCGAAAUAAAUCAUGGACGGAAGGGCGGAGAUAUUUUAUAUGCCCGAACUAUGCUUAUGAUCGUGCACUUCCAACUAACGCCUAUGACCAACCACCGGUAAGCUCGAGAAGUAAAAUGUUACUAUCAAAUGUGUGUCAACACUAA